AUGAAGAGCAGGUGUGCGGAGAUGGAGAAGCAGAUCCCGUCACAGCCGGAGGACCAGAGAGAGCAGAUGAUGCUGCAGCUACAACAGGAGAAGGAUGCUCUGGAGGCCACGCUGCGAGUGUUUGAGGACCUGGAGUUCAGCAUUCUGGAGCUGGAGAGCGGAGUCGAAGAAGAGCGAGACGGGGAGGAUGGAGAGACGGAAACCGUCAUCGAGACAGAAAUAACCAGAGUACAACACACACGCAACGCCUCUCAGGAACGAGUGCAGCAUCUGGAGAAGCAGCUGAAGGAGAUGGAGAAGGAGAAGGAGAAAACACUGAGCUCCCUCCGGCAGGAGAAGAAAGAGCUGCUGCACAGGACACACCGGAUUUUGAAAGAGAAAAAGCCGCUCACUGAUUGGUCCAACAUCACCGGCUCCACCCCCUGCAUGAUGUCACUCAGCCCUCUGACCAUUCACAGGGCAGCACAGGAGUCUCUGAAGGACUCGUGUAGUUUACCACGCAGACGCAGCUCUCACAGGAAGACCACAGACAGACCCGUGUCUGCGCAAGGUGAGAACAACAACUCUCUAAAGCAGGAGUCACCAAUCUCGGUCCUGGAGGGCCGGCGUCCCUUCAGGGUUUAGCUCCAACUUGCCUCAACACACCAGCCUGGAUGUUUCAAGUAUACCUAGUAAGAGCUUGAUCAGCUUGUUCAGGUGUGUUUGAUUAGAGUUGGAGCUAAAAUCUGCAGGACACCGGUGACCCCUGCUCUAAAGGCUAUUCCUCACUGAAUACAAAUUUUUGUCUGUAAAUUUUAUACAUUAAAAAAAAUAAUUCUACCUCAAGUUGUAUCAGUCAAAUUCACACACGAUAGCUGCGUCGCAAAUCGCAUACUUAUGCACUAUUCUACGCCAUUUUGUAGUAUAAAUAGUGUAAGUAGUGCGUUCACACUGAAAACUCUAAUAAUAAUAAGUGCACUUUAAUUACCCUGGAUGAUGCAUUCAUUCAGCCGCUAAAGUGAAGUGUGUAUUGAUGGACACUUCACGCACUCAACGACCGCAGGUUUGCUUACGUAGCGGAAGGGGCGGAGCUAUCGGGCGCACAUGUUAAAUAACUUUAUUUGUUUUGGAUGGUGAAAGCAAAAUUCUCCUACGAAAGUGAUUAUAGCGCCUCCCGAUGGUGAAUGCAGGUAUUAUUUGAUAGUUCGGUCGUUUAUUUCACUGAUUUGGCAACCGUCAAACGUCAUCAGGGAAACGGGUUGAAUUUCCGCUUAUUAGGAAAACAUUAGUGGUCCAUUUGGGACGACACUACAUACAUAUACUAUAUUGUUGAGUGUGUAAGUGCAUAAGUACAAAGUGCAUGAGUGCAUAGUGUAUAGUGUGCCAUUUAGGUCGCAGCUGAUCUCCGAAAGUUUUCUCCGUCAUUAAAAAAUUCAGAAAAAAAAAAUUCAGAAAAAGAAUUUUGACAGGUGUUUUGACAAUAACUGGCCACCGUACAAGCAAAAGGCUAAUAUAUAUAUAUAUAAGCAAAUUAUGGAAUAUUUGAGCAAUAUUACUCGAGUGGCAGUGCGGUAUGGCUGUAUAUAGGCACUGCUGGGCACUGCUUUAGCCGUGUCGCGGCUUCGAGCAGCACAUCCAUUGCCUCAGUCAAAGAUUAUUCAGUGUGCGUGGUUAUUAGUGUCAGUGUACAAGCUCGGCACUUGAAACUAGCACACAGUUGGCUGUAAAAUAGAGGUCUGCAUUCCGAAUAAAGCGCGGGAGCGGCCGAUAACCGGUUUAAUUUGGGACGGGAGCGGGCUGUCUAGCAAAAUUGCUCCCGACUCCCGAGCGAGGACGCUUAUGUUUGUGUGUAAAUGAAAUAGCGCGAUGCUGUGUUUAGCUUGUUUGUUGCUGUGUGUGUGUGUGGAUGUAUGUGUGUGGCAUGCGCGAAUGAGAGGUGUGUGUGUGCGAAUGAGAGAGAGAGCUUUGCCUGUGUGUGUGCGCUUGGUGCUUGUGUGUGUGUGUGUGUGUGUGUGUGUGUUAAUGCGCGUGCGCGAAUGAGAAAUAGAGAGAGAGAGCUUUCUCUAUGUGUGUGUGCUUGGUGCUAUGUGUGUGUGUGUUUAUACAGACAGCUUGUUAUAGGCUGUCUGGACUCUGUAUAGCUGGGUGGUAUUCGCUUUUGUUCUCCCCCCGCUCUUUGGCUGGAUCGGGCGCGGCGGGUAGAAAACGGGGCGGGUCGGGCAGCGGGCGAGAGAGGGAUUCAAAGUUUGGUCCCGCGCAGAUCUCUACUGUAAAACUAUACAGAGACACAAAUGAUUUUGUACUCUCUGCUUGGUCUGUGUCCGAGUCGUACAUGUAUCCUAGCUUAGCUUCUCCCUGUCUGCCUGUCUGAUGUACACACAGAGCGUGGGAGCUCCGCCCCCUUGUUACAAUUGGCGGCAAGCCGAAACUAAUUUUCAUGUGAAGCAACACACCCCUAAAACAACGAGCUGUGUACACACCCACAACAUGACACUUUUAUAACACAUUAUAAUAAACACAUCUGAACUGUGUGUUGAACUGAACCUGAACUGGCACACUCAGAACAACCAGAAUAUUAAUAUUAAAUCAGAAAAAGUGGUGAUUUAUGUGCCCUUUAAAUUUAACAUUAUGAUAUCUGCAGAAACCCUGUUAAUAUUCUGUGUCAGUUGGAAGUACAUCAACAUACUGAAAUAAAUGCCUCUGCAGCUUCCGGGUCAUGUGGAGUUUAGCACAGUGCAGUUUUGCAUUGUCAUCUGGACAGAGAAAUACUCAUGUACGUGUGGACGUGGCCUGAAACACUCACUCAAAUCAGCUUUCAGAGCAGACUGUUGAGAAACAGCUCAACGGCGGAGCGUGUCGCAGCAGAUUUGUCUGUGUAAAGGUGUGCCGUGUUUCUGGAAAAGCCUGUAAAUCCGCCUGCUGUGCUUUUGUUUGUCUCAUAUUCCCGACAGUGGUUUAUCUGUCAGAACAGCACAGUCUUACACACCGGUGACUCAGACAUCAUACUAAUAUCACAGAUAAUGAUUGAUGGACUGAAUGUGACUUUUAUGUCACUUCCUGUUUGAUUCCAACCUUUAGAAAAUACGGAUGGAGGAGAAUUAGAGGUGGGGAUGUGCAGUACUGGGAAAUUGUGCGAUAUUCAUUCAUUCAUUUCCUUCAGCUUAGUCCCUUUAUUAAUCCAGGAUCGCCACAGCGGAAUGAACCGCCAACUUAUCCAGCACAUGUUUUAUGCUCCGGAUGCCUUCCAGUUGCAACCCAGUAUUGGGAAGCACCCAUACACACUCAUUCACACACACACACACUACAGUCAAUUUAGCAUACCCCAGGCAUGUCCAAACUCAGUCCUGGAGGUCCAGUGUCCUGCAAAGUUUAGUUCCAACCCCAAUCAGACACACCUGGGCUAGCUAAUCAAGCUCUCACUAGGCUUUCUAGAAACAUCCAUGCAGGUGUGUUGAGGCAAGAUGGAGAUCAAAUCUGCAGGACACCAGCCCUCCAGGACCGAGUUUGGACAUCCCUGGCCUACCCAAUUGUGGGGGAAACUGGAGCACCCGGAGGAAACCCACACGAACACAGGGAGAACAUGCAAACUCCACAUAGAAACGCCAACUGACCCAGCCGAGGCUCGAACCAGCGACCUUCUUGCUGUGAAGCGACAGCACUACCUACUGCGCCACUGUGUUGCCGACUAUUUCAAUAACUUAUCUUAAAUAUUUCCUAGUAUUUUAAAUAUAUUCAGCAUUUUUUUCUAUGAAGA
ensembl:lincRNA